rnacentral:rRNA from 1 species
UACGGGGGGAGCAAGCGUUGUUCGGAAUCACUGGGCGUAAAGGGAGUCUAGGCGGUUUGGUAAGUGGGAUGUGAAAUCCCCGGGCUCACCCCGGGACCUGCAUCCCAAACUGCUGAGCUUGAGUACAGGAGAGGGUGGGGGAAUUCCAGGUGUAGCGGUGAAAUGCGUAGAUAUCAGGAAGAACACCAAUGGCGAAGGCAGCUCUCUGGGACGGUACUGACGCUGAGACGCGAAAGCGUGGGGAGCGAACAGG